UACCAGACUCCUACGGGAGGCAGCAGUGGGGAAUAUUGCACAAUGGGGGAAACCCUGAUGCAGCAACGCCGCGUGAGUGAAGAAGUAUUUCGGUAUGUAAAGCUCUAUAAGCAGGGAAGAAAAUGACGGUACCUGAGUAAGAAGCCCCGGCUAACUACGUGCCAGCAGCCGCGGUAAUACGUAGGGGGCAAGCGUUAUCCGGAUUUACUGGGUGUAAAGGGAGCGUAGACGGCGAUGCAAGUCUGAAGUGAAAGCCCGGGGCUCAACCCCGGGACUGCUUUGGAAACUAUAUGGCUGGAGUGCUGGAGAGGCAAGCGGAAUUCCUAGUGUAGCGGUGAAAUGCGUAGAUAUUAGGAGGAACACCGGCGGCGAAGGCGGCCUGCUGGACCGUGACUGACGUUGAGGCUCGAGAGCGUGGGGAGCAAACAGGAUUAGAUACCCCUGUA
rnacentral:rRNA from 1 species